rnacentral:rRNA from 1 species
AGUGAACGCUGGCGGUAGGCCUAACACAUGCAAGUCGAACGGCAGCACAGUAAGAGCUUGCUCUUACGGGUGGCGAGUGGCGGACGGGUGAGGAAUACAUCGGAAUCUACUUUUUCGUGGGGGAUAACGUAGGGAAACUUAUGCUAAUACCGCAUACGACCUACGGGUGAAAGCAGGGGAUCUUCGGACCUUGCGCGAUUGAAUGAGCCGAUGUCGGAUUAGCUAGUUGGCGAGGUAAGGGCCCACCAAGGCAACGAUCCGUAGCUGGUCUGAGAGGAUGAUCAGCCACACUGGAACUGAGACACGGUCCAGACUCCUACGGGAGGCAGCAGUGGGGAAUCUUGGGCAAUGGGCGAAAGCCUGAUCCAGCCAUGCCGCGUGGGUGAAGAAGGCCUUCGGAUUGUAAAGCCCUUUUGUUAGGAAAGAAAAGCAGCAGGUUAAUACCCCGCUGUUCUGACGGUACCCAAAGAAUAAGCACCGGCUAACUUCGUG